CCCUCGCCUUGGUUGACCGUAGCAGCAAGAUUUCUGACACUAGCACUAUGACUGCCUUAGGUGAAAUUCACCAUGGCCGAAGCCCCUAAAUGCACCCCACCGCACCAUCCACACCCCCCUGAGACCACCUCGAAGCCUCGCCGCCGCUAGAGCUCGAGGAAGAGCCGCUGUAGAUCGAAGCUUCUGCGCCAAAAAGGCCUCCCGCCAUUGUUGAGGCCCCGCUCAGCCCCGAGCUCCGUCGCACCUCCAACUGCCAAAAAUGGAUGGGCAUCCCUCCCCGAGCAUGUGCAUAAUCGGAGCGCGACGAGAGAUGCCCUGUACCGCCGGCAAUCGUCGCCGGAGUGCUUCUCUUCUCUGCCAAGGCUCGCGCGCAGAGGUGGGAGAAGGACCCGACAGGCGGGCCCCGCCUAUUGGUGAGGAAGGCAUAGCCAGAGUGGCGCACUCCCCCUGGUGCGUUUACUGGUUAGCAAAGCGUAUUCCCAUAUGCCCGUUUCGGCAAAUGCGCAUUAUCUCUGGCAAAAGAUUGCGUUUGGAGAGGAGCACGAUGCCAUCAACCCCGGAACCUAGGAGUCAAGGAUAGCAGCCUCGUGAGAUAGGAAUUUAUCCAGGUCAUCUGUUCCUGUGAGAAUGGAGUCCCAUGAGCACUGGACAUUCCUCGAGUCGCUUUCGCCGUCAACCUUAGACUUUUGUUCAACCCAGUAGACCUUCAUGGUCUUGUAACCCAGAUUUGUAUCUUGCUUGGGUAUUCUGUAUCAAGUAAGUGUCCACUAGCUAACAACAAUCCUUGGGCUGGUAAACAUAGAGACAUGUUGUUUGGAAAUUAUUUCUGAAAAACACGUCGCUACAAAACCCCUUUCCUA